CAUGUUCAGCUGACUGUCCCACUAGAACAGCUGAUAGAUCGUCUGGUGAAGGAGAACAAAGUGGUAGCCUUCAUCAAAGGAUCAAGGAGUGCUCCCCAGUGUGGAUUCUCACAAAGGGUGGUGGGUAUCCUGGAAGCACAUGGAGUGGAUUUUGUAACUGUUGAUGUGCUUGAUGAGGAACACAACCAUGGGCUAAGAGAAACCCUGAAGACAUACAGCAACUGGCCGACAUUUCCUCAGCUUUUUGUUGGAGGGGAGCUUGUGGGAGGCUGUGACAUUAUUUCAUCCAUGGCUGAAAAAGGGGAGCUUUCUGCCCUGUUUCAGAAAUAGGGCUCACGUGUUAAGUUCAAACUUCAAAGUAUGCUCUUUGGCCAUUUUUACUGUUGUACCUGAGAAAUUUAAGCCUCUCCCUUUCCACAUUGCUGUAAGUCUUAGGUCAAUGUAGUGCAAAAUUACUUGGCCUAAGAAAAUGUUCAUUUGGAUUUUCAUGAGGCUGUCCUGCUGAUGUGCUUAUACCAGGAUAUUUCCGUGAGGAGGC
rnacentral:lncRNA from 1 species